UACGAAGGGGGCUAGCGUUGCUCGGAAUCACUGGGCGUAAAGGGCGCGUAGGCGGCUAUCCAAGUGGCGGGUGAAAUCCCUCGGCUUAACCGAGGAACUGCCUGCCAGACUGGAUGGCUCGAGACCGGGAGAGGUGAGUGGAAUUCCCAGUGUAGCGGUGAAAUGCGUAGAUAUUGGGAGGAACACCAGUGGCGAAGGCGGCUCACUGGACCGGUACUGACGCUGAGGCGCGAAAGCGUGGGGAGCAAACAGG
rnacentral:rRNA from 1 species